rnacentral:rRNA from 1 species
GGAAAAUCCGGGAGAGAGGCCGGGGUAAUAGGGGUGGGGAGAGGAUGAAACGGAAUGACGGGGCGUAAAGCGAGAGGAGGCGGCUUGUUAAGGCAGAGGUGAAAGACCCGGGCUCAACGGGGGAAUUGGAUUUGAUACUGGCAGGCUAGAGUAUGGUAGAGGGUAGUGGAAUUCCAGGUGUAGCGGUGAAAUGCGUAGAUAUCUGGAGGAACAUCAGUGGCGAAGGCGGCUACCUGGACCAAUACUGACGCUGAGGUGCGAAAGCGUGGGGAGCAAACAGGAUUAGAUACCCCGGUAGUC